GUGUUUGCUUUGGCAACCCAUAUACUAACAUUGGAACGAUACAGAGAAUAUUAGCAUGGCUCCAGAGCAAAGGUUCCAUAUUUUUCAGAAAGACUCAAAAAUAUUAA
rnacentral:snRNA from 1 species